UACGAAGGGUGCUAGCGUUGUUCGGAAUCACUGGGCGUAAAGCGCGCGUAGGCGGCGUUUUCAAGUCAGAGGUGAAAGCCCGUGGCUCAACCACGGAAUUGCCUUUGAAACUGUAAUGCUAGAGUGUCGGAGGGGAUAGCGGAAUUGCUAAUGUAGAGGUGAAAUUCGUAGAUAUUAGCAGGAACACCGGUGGCGAAGGCGGCUAUCUGGACGACAACUGACGCUGAGGCGCGAAAGCGCGGGGGAUCAAACAGG
rnacentral:rRNA from 1 species